CUCAUCAGCUCUUUGCACUCUGUCAGACUGCUGCUUUGUGCACUGCUCUCCAGCCAUGUGUACCUGGACCUGAACUUCUGCCCUCUCCUCACAGCAGCACCAGAGUUGACUGAAAUAAAGAGAAAGCAGAAGCAAGAAUAAAGCUGUAGGCUCAUGUAUGACGGAGCAGGACAGCUGGGUGACCGACUCCAGGAAGCUUCUCUGCUGCAGCUGUUAGCCAAGGUGACUCCACAGUCCGUGAUGGAAACACCAGAAGCCUGCUCGCUUUACUGGAGGAGGUCCAGUUGUUUCGGUCUGGUGACCGGUCCAGGGUGUACCCCGCCUCUCAGCCAAUGUUAUCCAGCCAGGAUAGGCCCCAGCCCCCCUACGACCCUCAAGAGGAAAAGGGAUUGCAGAAAAUUGAAAUUAAAUUAUAAAUAAAU